UCCGGUAUCUUAGCAACCCACGAGUCCGGCCGCCCCGCGUGGCCGUCGCCACCGCCGCCGCGGGCUCAACUCCACCCGGCGGAACCCAGCGCGCCGCAGCCAGCACCCGACGCAGCGUCCGGGCGCAAGCGCCGCUCCGUGCGGGCACCGGCGGGGGGGACCCGGCGAGCCGAGGCCAGAAGGCGAAGCCCCGCGGCAGGAUGCGGCACGGGGAGGGCCUGACCCUUCGGGGGAACUCUUGGAAAUGGCUCCCGCCCCAGGACCGGAGGGGGCUGCGAAUAUUCCGCGGGCGCUCGCCCCCGCGGGGCUGCUGAGCCGCGGCCCGAGGGGGGACCCCGAGGCGCGGUCCUUGCGCCCCGCCGUCGGCUCGGGCUGAAAAAAGUUUCUCCAUGCUUCCUUUGUGUCGCCGGAGCGCCCGUUCCCCGGCCCCGAGCCUCCCCGGUCUUCCCGGCAGGAGGAGGUGGCGGAGCAGCUAGUGGGCAGCUGGCGCCCUCCCCUGCACAAGCCUCCGCCCCCCGCCCCGGGACUAGCCCCGCACUCCGCGGCUCGCCAUGAUCGCCACCGGUGGCCUGCUGAGGAUCUCCGCCCGCAAGCAGGAUCCCCUCCGCCCCCCCAGCCAGGUCCCCAAGCGCAAGCGGAAAGCCAAGAAGAGGCGCAAGAACGACGUGGUGGUGGUGAAAGGCAAGCUGAAGCUCUGCUCCAUCUCGGGUCUCAUCGCCCUUUGCGGGAUCCUGGUGCUGCUGGUGGGCAUAGCCAUGGCGGUGGUGGGCUACUGGCCCAAGGCCAACGGGGCCAACAGGGAGGGGGGCAAGCAGCCGCCGCCCGCGGGCAGCGGCCACCGCGCCCCGAACAUGGCCAGUAGCAGCGGCGGGGGCAGCAGAAACCGGUCCAGGAACCACCUGGGGGCUCCGGGGGGCGUCAACGCGAGUUCUCUGGGCGCGCCCAAGAGCACGCCUCCCGCGCGGGCCUUCGCCCCCGCGCCGGCCUCCUCUACGUCUGUGGGUUUCUUCUUACACGCCUUCUCCGGCUACCUGCACUCCGACAAGCUCAAGGUCUUCGGACCGCUCAUCAUGGGCAUUGGCAUUUUUCUCUUCAUCUGCGCCAACGCGGUGCUCCACGAGAACCGGGACAAGAAGACCAAGAUCAUCAACCUGCGCGACCUCUACUCCACCGUCAUCGACGUGCACAGCCUCCGCGCCAAGGACCUGGCAGCCGCGGCCGCGGCCGCCGCAGCUGCCGCCUCCUCGGCCCCCGCGCCCGCGGCCCCCGGGGCCUCGCCGCUCAACGGCUUCCUCAGUUACGUGCAGUCGCGGGGCCUGGAGCUGAAGCCCGGGGGUGGCGGCUCCGGGGAUGCCUUCGGGGCGGCGGCACUGCUGGCGCGGGGCUCGUGGUCCCACCCCCAGACGCGGGGCGGGGGCGUCGGAGGCGGUGGAGCGGGGGGCUGCCCGUCCCCGCCCGACCUGUCCUCGUCCCCGCGCCGCCCGCGGGAGUCCCCCAGCCUCGCCCAGGCGGUGUACAGCAUCUCCCGCGAGCGAUCGGCAGGGGCCGCGGUCUCCAAGGGCAGUAGCAGCCCCGCGCCCUGCAGCCCCCGCGGAAGCUGGGGCCGCGGGAGCACCGCCAGCUCUCUGGUGGGCUCCUCGUUGAGCGCCUUCGCGCUGCUGCCCUUGCAGGGAGACUGCGACGGGGACCGCGACGGGGACGCGGAGGGCGCGAGCCACGGCUGGCAGAGGCCGCCCGGGGAACGCGACUCCUGGGAGAUCCCGCGGGGCGAGCUGGACCUGAGCUUGAGCGACCUCCGCGGAGCCCGGGGCGGCGCGCGCGGGGCGCGGGGCGCGCUGGAGGAUACCGGGGGCCGGGGCGGCCGCCUGCCCAGGACCGGCAGGGACGCUGCCCUGCGGCGCCGCAGCACCAGCGGGCUCCCGGACUACCCGGCGCCACCGUCCCCCGAGCCCCCGCCCUCCCCGCGCAGCGCCGACCUGGACUCCAGCCUCCGGGCCAAAGCCGCCUCCCCCGAGACCCCCUCGGGCCCGGAGGACUCGCCCCCUGCCAGGCGGGGCUCUCGGAGCUCCCAGGAGGAGGACACACCUAGCAGCAAUAAGGGCUACACCCCACUGCGGGAGGCCGGCACCUCCCUGGAGUCCGUGGUGGACGCCGGGGACCGUGAGAACCAGGACUGUGCGGCCGCCCCCUCCCCGGGCGCAGAGCAGAGCCCCUCGGAGGACCCCAGCCAAGAGCCCCCAGCGGCAGAGCUACCGCAGCCGGUUCAGCGGCAGUUUACAAACAAGGAGAAACUCUUGAUGAUUUCCCGGUCUCAUGCCUUAGGAGCAGAGGACCAAGAGCUGGAGAGCACUGGCAUUUAGGGAAAGGAGUGCGAGAAAAUGGGAGAAACGCCCACCUGAAUCAGUGCAUUUAACAGUUCCCUCUUUCCUUUGCGGACUUAUCUGAGGAAAUCAUUCAAUACCCAAAGAGCUGCAGAAUGUUAUCCUUGAAUUGCUUCACAGAUUCCUGUAGAUGACUCCAAGCAAUUUUUUUUUUUUUUUAAAGGGAGACUAGUCUUUUAUGUCCGAUGGUGAUUGUAUGUUCCAAGAAAACCAAAUGUAUUAAAAGGGAAAUCAUCUUUGAGGGUUUUUCUUCAAAAAGGAAUGUUUCUUUAAGUGGAUAUGAAAAUUAUAAGCCUUUUAUAUUAAGCUACCACAAGCCUGCGAUGUCCAUUUGCAUUGACAACUUUAGCCAAGCAGCUCCCUGCCAUUCUCCAAAGAUCUGAUGAGCUGCAUAUUUGGUGGAUUCCAUCUGUUUAUCUAGAAUGAAAAUAAAACAUUGAGAUAGCAUUGGGUUCACUGAGUUGGAUGGAGCCAGAGAGAGGUUGUAACAAAUGCCUGUCAUCCUGGGGGUUUGCCUUCACCCCAGAGCCAGGGGCAUUGUAAUGUUUCUACUGAGCUGCUGCCUGUCUGAAAAUAGAUUGUUAUUCAACUUCAAAUUUGCCUCCAACCCUCUCCCAUCAGUAACACCAGUCUAUGAUAUGGCCCUGCAUAGCAAAUGGGACUUUUGGCUAAUUCAUUCCUAAAAUAAUAUAAUUUCUUGUCUCCAGUCCAAAGUCUAAUGAAAGUUUAUGCAAAUUUACCCGGAGUGUCACAAAUUCAGUACUUGUCUCAAUACCCUGUGCUUCUGAUCCCACGUUGUGACAAGAUCCCACUAAGGGAGAGAAGUUUGACAAUGAAAAGGAAGGGAAAUAAGUGCCAGACCAGGGGGUGGGAGAAAAAGAAAAUCCUUCAAAAAGAGCCAAAAGAUAAAGUUUAGCUAGAUUCCCUAGGAAAGCUCUUUGUUUCACAAAUGACGAAUUGGUUACUAUUGUUUGUAGACCGUUUUGCAUAUAGCAAGUGUCUUAGAUGAAAAAUUACCCUUUUAUUCCAUAGAAAAUAUUCUUUCAGCAAAUGCAUGAGUAGACAUUAAUUUGUGCAUUUUCAAUAUUUAAGAAAUUCAGCAUAAUGUAUUAUUGGACACAAACCCGCUUGAUAGUAAUGAUUGCUAAACAUCUAAUAAUGUUUAAUAAUACAAAGAAACUUAAUGGCAAAUUUGCAAAGAAUUGCUUUUAAGUUGAGAAAUUCAAGUUUCUAUAAAUUCUGUCUAUACUUUCGAAAGAAGUAAAUUGGAAAGUUAUUUAGUUACUGGUUUAAAGAGGUCAAUCAAAGCAACAUAGGCCAGGAAACUAUUUUGUCUCAGUGUGGGAUUUUCACCCUUGCUCUGUUUUAUGUGGAUAAUUAAUUGCCUUAUCACUUCAUUGGAUAUAGGCAUAACCUAGAAGAAAAUAAUUUCACCUGUAGGAGUAAACAGCUGCUGCUCAAGUCUUCCCUUUUGGUAAAAUACAUAGUUUUCAGAUCAGUUCAAGAUACGUUUUUUAAACUUCCUAUCAUGAGGCAGGUAGGCACUGUGCUAUCUGAGAGGGAUUAAAAAAUGAAUAAGCACAAUUCCAGGCCCCAAGAUCUUGCAGUAGUAUUGGUUUGGAGACAGGCAUAUAACCAAUAAUUUCAAUAUAAUGUAAAUAUUACUAGAGAGUUAUGAUAUGGACACUCAAGCUGAGUUUCAAGAAAUGAUGAACAUGUUGGUGAGGUGUAAAAAGCUGGGAAAGGGAUGUUGACCAGUGAGAUCUGCCUGAGCAAUUGCGUGGAGGCAAAAUGCAAUUUUUUAAGCUAGAUUUUCAUAAGGCAACUUUUAUUUGACUUUCCCCUAAUAUCCUCACAAUAGGAGGUGUUUAUUCUGGGGUGAGGUGGAGAGGAUAGGCAUAUAUUUCUUUCCUUUUGUGAGUGGUAGAAGCAUAUUUGAAAUUAAGAUUAAAGUGAUUUAGAUAUUAAAAUGCUCAAAAUACAUAUUGCCUACCAUGAAAUAUUUAAUUAUUCCACCCAUUUAUCUCUGAUCUCUACUCGCAGAACUUCUUAACUGAGAAGUAUCAGUAGUACCUGGAACAAACAAACUGUAUUCUUAUUGAACAUAAGCUACUUUUAUGAGCAAUAAUGAUUUUUGCUGAAUGAUAUAUUGCUUUGAAAUGUUCAUAUCUUAAAAUAACCAUUUAAUUUAAAUUUUCAAGUGCUGAGCAUCAUUCGUCUAGAUGUGUGUAUAAAGGGAUAAAACUGGGAGGGCAAUCUGUACUUGGAAAAAGCUGUUUGUGUCAUUCCCCAGCACAGUGGACGAUACUGGGCUGAUACGUGUCCGGUGAAGACUGGAAUGGCAUAAACUUGGGGAUGAUUUAUCAGGUGCAGAUCAUUUUACAGAAUUUAGAUGUGAUAGCUGAAUGUAUUUCUACAGAUUUCUACAUCAAUUUUCAACAUCAUUUAUAUCAGAGCAAAAAUAAUGUAUCUUUGUUAAUAACAAGCGUCUCAUUCCUAUUUUUCCUCUCAUAAGUGUUCAUGGCAGAAGGAAAGAUUAUUGAAGCCCAGACAUCCUAUUGCAAAUGCGUACGAAUAUUCUUUAUAGCCUGGCACCAAAAGGCUAUGCCUUUUGAUUUCCAAAUAGCCAGUCAUUUCAGGAAAGUCACUGAAAACAGAUUCAGCCAGAAUAAUGCAUUGGCUUUGUGUAAAUGCAGCCUCACACUUGAUUCACGCACAAAGCUGCACACUGAAAGAGAUAGGCAAAGUAUAUAUAUAUACUUUUCAAUAUAAAUAUUCUCUUAAAGUAAAAAUUAAAAGUAACAUUUUGUUUGUUUGAACUCCCUACAUAAUUGAAGAAAUGUUUGAAAGUUCUUCAAAAAUUUUUUAGUGCACAUAGUCAAGGCAAAAAAUACAAAAUAUGUUUUUCCUUUUUCUUUUUCCUCCACUAAAGUGAGAAUUUGGCAAAAGCACUUUCCAUUACAGAUAAAGUACAACAGGUAUUAUCAAUUGCAGUUUUAUUGUCAGAGCCAGUAAAUAAAUCUUUCAGAGAGAUAUGUUUAUUGGUAAGAGAUUCACAGUUUGGAAAUACUUGUUGAAAAGGUUCUUUGGUUAAUAUGACAUGGUAAAUGAUGUCAGGAAGCAAAUUAAAUUCUUGAUAAAAAGCCAGCAAAUUCAGGUGACUAAUUUGGUGACCUAAGAGCUAAUCCUUCUGCUUAUGUAACUAUACACCUCAGAGUAUUUGGAACACUAAAUAUGACUUCAGUGUGCACAAAUUUGAUUGUACAAUUUCUUUCAUUUGUAUUCCUAAUUUCAUUGCAGUUUCAUGCCUGAGAACAUUUCCUGAUAUAUUAGUCUUGCUCUGAAUUAGUACUUGAGAAAAAAUGAAUGCAUUUAUAAUGAUAAUAAUAAUAACAAUAAUUACAUAAUAGGCUUUAAAAGGACACCCAAAGCUCGUGUGAGAAGUUUACUGAUAACAGAGUAAAGGUUCACUCCUCAACUUUUUGUAUCUGCUCAAAAAGAAAGUAAACUGAAUGGUAUCUUUUUGAAACAUGUGCUGCUAAAAAGCCAAAACACAAUUAAAGCACAUGUUUGAGCCUCCUCAUUCCUCAAAUCCCAUGGAUGUUGGACACUAGAAAUGUCUUUUAUUUUCAGAGUAUAUUCUGACUAAGUCAGUGAUAUGGGGUUAAUGCUUUCUGAGAUAUCUUUUAUUAUAAAGUGAAUGAAAAGGAAAUUUAAUAAUGCUGUAACUGCCUGAAAAAAAAUGCCAGUUUUGAUUAAGUCAAUGGCAAUUAAACACAGUUAAAAAUAAAUUGAACAGAGCAUCUGGCUAGCCUGUGAGUAUGAAUCACUUCAAUGGAAGUACCAAAUCAUAAUAAAAAAUAAUAAUAAACAAAAGUGGUUUGAAAAGAAAAAAAAUUAUUUCAGGCACGAUGGGGGCCCCGAGUUAAGAAUAAUCCAAGUUGAUGUGUGGCAAUUUCCAAAGCAAGAUAAUUUUAGCAAAUUGUUUAGUGAUUGUAUAAAUGUGACAUGCCUGAAAAAUGUUAAUUAAACUGCUUUACACAGUG